UUGUCAAGAAGCACAACAACAUCGGUGUGUUCAAUCAGGGAAUGUGUGGAGAGCACGCUGUUAUAAGGCUCGACCACAGCAGUUGAGAUCUGCAACAGGAAAUGGUUUCAGUACAGAGUUCUUGUAAGUUACAAUGACAGGUGGAUGGUCAGUGAAGGAUAUAUUUCUGUAUGCAAGCUAUGUCUUAUUGCAAGAAUAAAUGGAGUUCUUCUCACUGACACAGGAAAUGGCUCAGGGUGAGGGACAACAUGUCACACCUGUGUAAUGUCCACGGGCAAAGUUGUUUGCAGCAUCUUCCUUGUGUGAGAUGAGCUGCUCAGGAUGGAAAAGCUGACGGUAUGCCCCGGUCUUCACCUCGUCAAUCACAGUGGGCUCCAAGUCGACAAACAAGGCCCUUGGAACGUGCUUCCCUGCGCUCGUUUCACUGAAGAAUGUGUUGAAUGCAUCCCUCGCAACCCCAACAGAGUUGUCACUGCAAGCAAACAGCCAAGGUUGAGAAAUUGGAUGCUGUAAAAUAGGGGUGCCAUCAACUCGUAAAAAAAGAGCAUCCAGCAAAGUUUCUCUAGCUUUUACUUCGGGCUGUGAUACACAAGAUUGUCCUCAGGAUUAUGAAUAUUCCAGGAUUAUCUCCAAAAUACAACCUUUUUGAGGCUAUGCUACAAGAACCCAGAAGUCAGCCCUAUCUGAAACAAUUAUCUGAGCUAGAAUCAUCUGAGAUAGAUCAAAACUCGACUGAAUUCUUAAGGAAGGAUGAGAUAAACAGAAAGUGCGGAAAUUGGAACGGAAAAGGACCUCACCUG